rnacentral:rRNA from 1 species
GGUUAAUUUGAUUACAAGGUAUUGAAUAAGGUUUUAAUUGAAUGCUAAAAGAAUGGAAUAUCAAAGAAUAACUUUCUUAAAAUUAAAAAUUGAAAUUUUUUUAAUUUGUGUAAAAACAAUUAUAUAAAUUAAAGACAAGAAGACCCUAAGAAUUUUUAAAAUUUAAAUUAACACAUUUUUGUUUUAAUUAAAUUUUAACUGGGGCGGUUAAAAAAUAUUAAAAACUUUUUAAUUUUGAAAAUGACCCAUUAUUAAUGAAAAUAUGAUAAAAUACUCUAGGGAUAACAGCGUUAUAUUUUUUGAUAGAUCAUAUUGACAAAAAAGUUUGCGACCUCGAUGUUGGAUUAGGAUACUUUUUUAAUGAAGAUAUUAAAAUAAGAAGUUUGUUCAACUUUUAAAUUCCUACAUGAUCUAGUUUUUAAACCGA